UACGUAGGGGGGCAAGCGUUGUCCGGAUUUAUUGGGCGUAAAGAGCGUGUAGGCGGCUUUGCAAGUCCGUUGUGAAAACUCGAGGCUCAACCUCGAGACGCCGGUGGAAACUGCAAAGCUAGAGUCCGGAAGAGGAGAGUGGAAUUCCUGGUGUAGCGGUGAAAUGCGCAGAUAUCAGGAGGAACACCGGUGGCGAAGGCGGGUCUCUGGGCCGUAACUGACGCUGAGGAGCGAAAGCGUGGGGAGCGAACAGG
rnacentral:rRNA from 1 species